GGAGAUACUACCGUGAAUGCGCCUGGGAGCUAAGCAGGGUCGGGCCUGGUUAGCACUUGGAUGAGAGACCGCCUGGGGGAUUAUCAUUAAUGCCU
rnacentral:rRNA from 1 species